rnacentral:misc_RNA from 1 species
UACGGAGGGGGCAAGCGUUGUUCGGAAUCAUUGGGCGUAAAGGGCGUGUAGGCGGCCUGAUCAAGUCGGAUGUGAAAUCCCUCGGCUCAACCGAGGAACUGCACCCGAUACUGGUUGGCUAGAGUCCGAGAGAGGGUAGCGGAAUUCCCAGUGUAGCGGUGAAAUGCGUAGAUAUUGGGAAGAACACCGGUGGCGAAGGCGGCUACCUGGAUCGGUACUGACGCUGAGGCGCGAAAGCCAGGGGAGCGAAUGGG